UCUCACGGAUGAGGAAAGAAAGUGGUUUCCUGAGAUGAAACCUACUCCUGGUACAGAUGCUGUGAA
rnacentral:pre_miRNA from 1 species